GGGGAGUACGGCCGCAAGGCUAAAACUCAAAGGAAUUGACGGGGGCCCGCACAAGCGGCGGAGCAUGCGGAUUAAUUCGAUGCAACGCGAAGAACCUUACCAAGGCUUGACAUGUUCUCGAUCGCCACAGAGAUGUGGUUUCCCCUUUGGGGCGGGUUCACAGGUGGUGCAUGGUUGUCGUCAGCUCGUGUCGUGAGAUGUUGGGUUAAGUCCCGCAACGAGCGCAACCCUCGUUCCAUGUUGCCAGCGGGUUAUGCCGGGGACUCAUGGGAGACUGCCGGGGUCAACUCGGAGGAAGGUGGGGACGACGUCAAAUCAUCAUGCCCCUUAUGUCUUGGGCUUCACGCAUGCUACAAUGGCCGGUACAAUGGGUUGCGAUACUGUGAGGUGGAGCUAAUCCCAAAAAGCCGGUCUCAGUUCGGAUUGGGGUCUGCAACUCGACCCCAUGAAGUCGGAGUCGCUAGUAAUCGCAGAUCAGCAACGCUGCGGUGAAUACGUUCCCGGGCCUUGUACACACCGCCCGUCAAGUCACGAAAGUCGGUAACACCCGAAGCCGGUGCUCUUCAAC
rnacentral:rRNA from 1 species